rnacentral:rRNA from 1 species
UGAGGAAUAUUGGUCAAUGGGCGCGAGCCUGAACCAGCCAAGUCGCGUGAGGGAAGACUGCCCUAAGGGUUGUAAACCUCUUUUGUCGGGGAGCAAAUGUCUCACGCGUGGGACUAUGAGAGUACCCGAAGAAAAAGCAUCGGCUAACUCCGUGCCAGCAGCCGCGGUAAUACGGAGGAUGCGAGCGUUAUCCGGAUUUAUUGGGUUUAAAGGGUGCGUAGGCGGACAGGUCAGUCAGCGGUAAAAUCGUGGGGCUCAACCCCAUCCCGCCGUUGAAACUGCCGGUCUGGAGUGAGUGAGAGGUAUGCGGAAUGCGUGGUGUAGCGGUGAAAUGCAUAGAUAUCACGCAGAACCCCGAUUGCGAAGGCAGCAUACCGGUGCUCAACUGACGCUGAGGCACGAAAGCGUGGGGAUCGAACAGG